CCUACGGGGGGCUGCAGUGGGGAAUAUUGCACAAUGGGCGCAAGCCUGAUGCAGCCAUGCCGCGUGUGUGAAGAAGGCCUUCGGGUUGUAAAGCACUUUCAGCGGGGAGGAAGGCGGUGAGGUUAAUAACCUCAUCGAUUGACGUUACCCGCAGAAGAAGCACCGGCUAACUCCGUGCCAGCAGCCGCGGUAAUACGGAGGGUGCAAGCGUUAAUCGGAAUUACUGGGCGUAAAGCGCACGCAGGCGGUCUGUCAAGUCGGAUGUGAAAUCCCCGGGCUCAACCUGGGAACUGCAUUCGAAACUGGCAGGCUAGAGUCUUGUAGAGGGGGGUAGAAUGCCAGGUGUAGCGGUGAAAUGCGUAGAGAUCUGGAGGAAUACCGGUGGCGAAGGCGGCCCCCUGGACAAAGACUGACGCUCAGGUGCGAAAGCGUGGGGAGCAAACAGGAUUAGAUACCCGGGUAGUC
rnacentral:rRNA from 1 species